AUACGGAGGGUGCAAGCGUUACUCGGAAUCACUGGGCGUAAAGCGCGCGCAGGCGGUCUUUUAAGUUGGAUGUGAAAGCCUACGGCUCAACCGUAGAACUGCAUCCAAAACUAUUAGACUAGAGUGUGGGAGAGGAAGAUGGAAUUAGUUGUGUAGGGGUAAAAUCCGUAGAGAUAACUAGGAAUACCAAAAGCGAAGGCAAUCUUCUGGAACACUUCUGACGCUGAGGCGCGAAAGCGUGGGGAGCAAACAGGAUUAGAAACCCCAGUAGUCC
rnacentral:rRNA from 1 species